rnacentral:lncRNA from 1 species
GGCGGCAGGGGAAGAAGGCGGCAGGGGAUGAAGGCGGCGGGGAAGAAGGCGGCAGGGGAGGAGGCGGCAGGGGAGGAAGGCGGCGGGGAUGAAGGCGGCGGGGAAGAAGGCGGCAGGGGAGGAGGCGGCAGGGGAGGAAGGCGGCGGGGAAGAAGGCGGCGGGGAUGAAGGCGGCGGGGAAGAAGGCGGCAGGGGAGGAGGCGGCAGGGGAUGAAGGCGGCAGGGGAAGAAGGCGGCAGGGGAUGAAGGCGGCGGGGAAGAAGGCGGCAGGGGAGGAGGCGGCAGGGGAGGAAGGCGGCGGGGAUGAAGGCGGCGGGGAAGAAGGCGACAGGGGAGGAGGCGGCAGGUGAGGAAGGCGGCGGGGAAGAAGGCGGCAGGGGAUGAAGGCGGCGGGGAAGAAGGCGGCAGGGGAUGAAGGCGGCGGGGAAGAAGGCGGCGGGGAAGAAGGCGGCAGGGGAUGAAGGCGGCGGGGAAGAAGGCGGCAGGGGAAGAAGGCGGCGGGGAUGAAGGCGGCGGGGAAGAAGGCGGCAGGGGAAGAAGGCGGCAGGGGAUGAAGGCCGCGGGGAAGAAGGCGGCAGGCGAGGAGCGGCAGGGGAGG